GUCAGAGCACAUAUGUGGAUUGUUCAAAAUUACAAGGUAAAAAUAAAACUAAUCGGUAGGUGUAUGUAAAUCUGUUUUAUACUAUUACCUCAAUGUACUGUAAUGUUCACGUUAUAACGAGUAAUUAUUUACAUUUUAUAUAUUACAUUAUACAUAUGUACAUUUUAUUUUAUAUCUAUAUUUUAUUACGUGAACGAUUUUCAGUGGGAUUAUGUACGUAUGUUGGACACAAAUUAAUUAAGUCGAUUAAAUGUUUCUGAGCAUUUUCCGUGAAUAAUAUCAAAAAUUAAAACAUUAUAUGCACACUGCACAUACCGAAUGCUACUUACAAUACGGUUUAAUUUGUAAAUUAGAUAUAUUUUAUAUUGGCGAUAAUGACCAUUAAUAGAAUAAGACAUUUGGAAUUAUAAAGGCUACUAUUAUCCUUCUAACCAUGCACGAAGGAAUCAUUAACAGCUUGGUGGGAAUUUUAUAUCCAAUUGUACUAUUUUAAUUUUUUCCAACGGAACUGAAUAUUUUCAAGAAUUUCACUUAAUUUUUUUUAUUUAAUUGCCGGUAUUUCUUAAAUCUUUAGAAUUAAUUUAAAAUUUCAAGUAAUAUUUACAACAUGUGAUAAUCCCGGGAAAAAGUAAAUUUCGCCGUAAGCAUGUGGUUAGAAAAUUAAUUAAUUAUAAAAUUAUAAAAAAACUGAUGUACAAUUUUUAUGUCACUUUGAUGUUUUUAAUGUAGCACUAUGUUAUAAUUAUAUAGUUACAGCAUUAUUAAGCAACUUGAUAAAAGAGAAUCAAUGAAUGAUAUCAAUGUUUAUGCAUAUUCCACUUCGGUGUAGCUAUCACUUGAGGUACACUGCAAACGAAUAUAUUACGGAAAUUUCUGGAUGCGAGAAAAGUAAUGACGUUUACACGAAGAUACUAUUCGCCGUGCGUGUUCACAUAAAAGCGACGAAGCAUGUACAGGUCAUAUGGGACAUGUUUGGAAUACAUUACGUCAUUCUAUUAGUUUUUGGUAUCAUUGGAGCAACCAUGGUGUUUGUGAGCGUGAGUAACAUUGAAUUUUCAUGUCAACGACAUGACUAUUAAUUUUUUCAUUCUACAUUAAUAAUUAUUUGAUGUAUAUUCAAAUAUAUAAGUGGAGUCUCUCUCUCUUUCUCUCUCUCUCUCUCUCUCUCUCUCUCUCUCUGUCUCUGAAUAUAUUGAUCAAAUUUAUGCAAAUGAAUUUCAUUUUGCAACUGAAGAAUGUUAUUACUACAUAUACCACGUACGAUAUCAAAAAACAAUUUUUUGAAAAUUGAUUUUCAGAACUUCAAUAUUUUACGAAGUAAGUAGUAUAUUUAAGAGGAUAAUAAUUAUCGUAUGCUGUAUAAUUUUUACAUUACUUCUAAUAUUAUUCUCCUUUAAAGAGAAAAAAGUUUUCUUAUUUUCCAUUAAUAAUAAAUAAGAUCUAAGAUACUGUGAGUUAUUUGGAAGUUCAAGUAAUGAAAUUUACAAAAUUAUUGAAUUAGUUUUAUCAAUCGGUGCAAACGAACGACGAGGGACGAAUAUUAAUGAUAAUACUCAUCCUUUUGUUAUCUUUUGUUUCUUACGCUACAUUAACAAUGUACUUUGGCCAAAGAUUAAUCGAUCACAGUUUAGGUGUCUUUUACGACGCGUAAGUAUUCCACUUAUCGGAUCAGAAUAUUAUUAACUUUAUUUUAAUAAUAGUAAUAACGAUAAUUAUAUUGUGCAUACUUAUAGAAAUUCAUACUUUUUUGGAGAUGACUAAGGCAAAAGAAAUUAGAAAAAGAAAAAAAUUGUCUAACAUUACUUAUUUACUUAUUUACUUAUUUAAAAAAAUAUAUUUCUUUUAUAAAAAAGAAGGGUAUAUAUAGAAAAACGACAUACAUUCUCGUAUAAAUUUUAGAUACAAUUCUCAUUGGUACAAAAUCCCUGUGAAAGCUCAAAAAUUGUAUUUAAUGGUACUCACACGUAGUGUAAGAGGCUGCUCAUAUUCCAAGGGCAAAUCCUUCGUUUCGUCGUUACAGGGUCUAACCGCGGUCAUAAACACAACGUUUUCGUAUGUCACGUUCUUCUAUUCCGCAAAAAACUAACGUUUUUAAAAAAGCUGAUAAAAGACGGAUCGAGACAUAAAUGAUGUUUGCCCUAAUAAUUUUGACAUUUAACAGUCUGUUACGUAUCAUUGAUGUUGUUUGCACAAUAUAUGAAAUUAUUCUUGACAUAUUACUGUUUAU